GACGAACGCUGGCGGCGUGCUUAACACAUGCAAGUCGAACGGGUCUGCCCUGUUUUUUGCGGGGUGGGUCAGUGGCGAACGGGUGCGUAACACGUGAGUAACCUGCCCCCCACUUCUGGAUAACCGCUUGAAAGGGUGGCUAAUACGGGGUGUUCUGGCUGUGCCGCAUGGUGUGGCUGGGAAAGAUUCACUUUUGUGGUGUUUUGGUGGGGGAUGGGCGCGCGGUCUAUCUGCUUGGUGGGGGGGUGAUGGCCUGCCAAGGCUUUGACGGGUGGCCGGCCAGGGGGGGUGGAGUGGCAGACUGGGGCUGAGGUACGGCCCAGACGCGUGCGAGAGGCAGCAGUGAGGGGUAUUGGAGGAUGGGGGGGAGCCUGAUGCGGCGACGGCGCGUGAGGGAUGGAGGCCUGCGGGUUGUGAACCUCUUGCGUCGGUGAAGAAGGUCCUGCUCUGUGUGGUGGGGUUGACGGUAGCCGGGUUAUGAAGCGCCGGCUAACUACGUG
rnacentral:rRNA from 1 species